UCCUAUUUACAGCAAACAGAAUAUUUUUAUCGAAUUUUAAUUUUACAUCAAACAGAACACCGAAGUCAUUUAGGGAAUCUAUUCGCUCUAGAGAAGUAUCAUAUAAUACAUAGAGAGAAUCCCUUAAGAAUGUGAAAAGUUUACAUUUAUUGCAAUUAAGAUUUAACAAGUUUAUUGUGCACCAAUAUUGUAGACGAUUCAGCUCACUGCAACCGUGAGCCCGGAAAACAGUCAUUGAAUGUCAAGCAAAGCUUAAGGUCAUCAGCCAACAAAAAUGAAUAAAGUGGCCCAAGCAAUAGAGGACCAAACUGCCUGCUAUUUUAAUAAACAUACAGAAUUCUAUUCGAUAGAUAUGAGUGGAUCCAUUUUCCAUUGAGGAUAAGAAAAAAAUAUUUUAAGAACAUGAAACAGAAUAAGUCGUUUGAAAAAGUCAACAAAUAAAUCGGCAAGAUCAU